CUAGUCCAAGUUGUGUAAUGGCUGCUACCUUCUCUUCUGCUCUCGCGUACGCGUUAUCCUGUGUUGGAAAACCAGGUCUAGUCUUGAAAGACAAGCAGCUGGAGGCGUUGAAGUGUCUGUACGCUGGUGUUUAUGUGGGUACCGUACCGACCGGCUAUGGCAAGUCCCAGAGCAAGUCCAUCUGCUUUCCAGACACUCCCUUUCUUGAUUGAUGUGAAGCUUGACAGGACCAGUGCACCUCUCUCUGAAAGAAGUGUUGUGAUGGUGAUUUCUCCUCUUGUUUCUCUGAGUGAAGCCAUCUUCAAAGUGUUGGUGUGUCUGUUCGACGUUCAGUGCCAUUCUCUCUGGAAGGAAGUAUUGUUGUGACAUUAAAUAUUUUGCCGAAAAUUGGUCACAGAGUAAGUACGUGGUAUCUGAUCCGAGAACUGUGUGGCCUGAAUGUGUUUACAAUCCGAGGGACUUGUGUGUAUCCGAUCCGAGGGACUUGUUGCUUGAGUGUGUAUCCGGACUUGUUGCUUGAGUGUGAUUUAAUGGAUAGUGCUUUCAAUGGUUUAACUAAUUUCUUAUGAGAUUAACUUGUCGGCUGAGUGUGUAUCCGAUCCGAGCCUCAAGUUAAUGAAUAAAUCUACAGAGCUGAUGUUUUACUUAGCUGUCUCUGUCUACAGUAUAUACAGAGAGGUAGCCUCUCCUUUUUCUGUUCUUUAUCACAAUAAGAUAAAAUACUGUUUUAACGUUCAA